rnacentral:rRNA from 1 species
CCUACGGGUGGCAGCAGUAGGGAAUCUUCCACAAUGGACGAAAGUCUGAUGGAGCAACGCAGCGUGAGUGAAGAAGGGUUUCGGCUCGUAAAGCUUCGUUGGUAGAGAAGAAAGAUAGAGGAAGUAACUGGCCUUUAUUUGACGGUAUGUACUUAGAAAGGCACGGCUAACUACGUGCCAGCAGCCGCGGUAAUACGUAGGUGGCAAGCGUUGUCCGGAUUUAUUGGGCGUAAAGCGAGUGGAGGCGGUUCAAUAAGUCUGAUGUGAAAGUCUUCGGCUCAACCGGAAAAUUGCAUCAGAAACUGUUGAACUUGAGUGCAGAAGAGGAGAGUGGAACUCCAUGUGUAGCGGUGGAAUGCGUAGAUAUAUCGAAGAACCCCAGUGGCGAAGGCGGCUCUCUAGGCUGCAACUGACGCUGAGGCUCGAAAGCAUGGGUAGCGAACAGGAUUAGAUACCCUAGUAGUC